UCCCCAAAAACCCCCUAGAACAUCAUGAAAUAAUCAUAGAAACACAUGCAUGAAAUGGCUGGACAGGGCACUUUCGGCGGCAGGUUCGGCGGCCGAAAGUCCCUCCAGAGCCGAAAGUCAGGCACUUUCGGCGGCACCUUCGGCGGCCGAAAGUCCCAGACAGAGACGAAAGUCUCUUUUCGGGGGCAACUUCGGCAGCCGAAUGCUGCCUCCACAAAGGGGGUUCGGCGGCCGAAAGUUACUUCGGCGGCCGAACCUGAGCUUCUCC
rnacentral:lncRNA from 1 species